rnacentral:lncRNA from 1 species
CCUUUGGCUACAACACUACCAAAUGCUUAUUAAAAAUAAACCCGAUUAAAUUUAUCAAAACAAUACUUUUAUGUUAUAACAGGUGGUUCGCAGUGGAAACAAGCACCAGGAUCCUUCAUAUUCUCUCUUCGUAACAACGAAAAUCUCUCGCCUUUUAAAGCCCCACUGAAAAAUCAAAAUACUGGGAACGCAAUUUACGCAGGGAAUAGUCAUGGACCAAUAUUCGGAAGUUGUUGUGAUAUAGUGAUAUAUGAUAAUGCUGCUUCGAAUACCGAUUCACGCACAGAUUUUAAUACCGGAUACCAAGCUCCAUCUGGCGUCAGCAACGCGAAAACCAUCCUGGCAGGUACACGUAACUUCAGUCCAAGCGAAGUUGAAGUCUUCCAUCUUGUGUAGAACUAUUCUCAAUAUAUUCACCAUACCAAACAUUGUACUAUUUCUGAAACCAAACUUAAAUCAAGCUUAGUUCAUGACUAAUAUCAAAUCACAGAUCAAACGCAUGCAAUGUCAUCGAUCGCAAGUUAAAUUCCGAGGCAUGGAAAAACGAAAUGAGUACCAAUUUAUUUUUUGAACCACGCGUUCCAGCCAGGCAGAUGGAGGAUAAAAAAUAAAUGAAAAGUCGUUGUAUGUGUUGUCCUUCAAAUUUCUUGUGGGCUCCUGCCAACACAUUUUUCUUCGAUUUUCCUAUUAAACCCCUAUAUUGUUAUAAACGUGAAAUUUCUGGUCCAUUUAUAGAAAAAAUAAUUUAGAAUAACUUAGAAUAACUUCAUAAAAUAACUUCAGCAUUAGAAAGCUCAUAAAAAACUAUACAUACGAGACAUUUAAACGGUUACCUUGAUUUUUCAAGUUCUUCUUGAAUUAUGAGCUUUUGGAAACGUGUUUUCAGACUAGUGCCCAGGAUUCGAUUCUGAUUAAGAUAACCGUUUUUAAAAAUGUCUUACAUAUAGGUUUCUGCAAGUUUUCUAAUAAUGCGAGGUAGUUUUUGUAUAAAUAAAUGGACCUGAAAUUUCACAGAAAAUCGAAGAAAAAUGUGUUGGCAGGAGGCCACAAGAAAUUUGAAUGCCGCCGACAUACAGAAAUGCACUUGGUAGCCUUAAAGGCACAAGAUGAAAGCAAAAUAGAAAUGCACCCUGAUCGGAUGAGUUUUUCAUCCGCAUGACUAUUUCUCAAUAGUGCUAUAUGCAUGCCUUGAGUGUCGUUUGAUCUGGGACAUUAAUGCACCACUCAGCAGUUUGCCCAGGUAGGGAGGAGUUGGGAGAGUAACGGGCGUACCCAUGCACGGGAUUUGACGAGGCCUGUUUCCCCAUGGUCAGGAAUUUGACAAUUAUGUGUGACCUGAGGGUCCGGAUGAUUGAUCAUCACUACAUCAUAUCGUCUGUGAUUUUUCUGUGAUUUUCCUUGAUUUCCGUGAUAUAUUUUUCGCCAUUUCUUUGUUGUGAUGUCUGGAACGAAGGGGAAAUGAUUUCUACUCUCAGAUAAAUUUCCAUAUUUUAUGGCAUUUUUGAAGUGAAAUGGAUAUUUUUCAUGGAUUAGAAAAAUGAUGGAAAUUGUGUGGAAAUUUCAGUAAGCCCUUUUUGCUAUUAGAAUUCUGCUAUUUCCGAGGGGCUUUACGUCAUUGUUUCCAUCAGACGACUCUGGGUCAGAAAAAUUGACAUACUUUGACCAAAAAAGGUAGCCCUCCCGACUGGGGAAAUUGACAAAAUGUCAAAUCCCAUGGGCAUACCUGCAGGAUACUCCCAUACCCUCCCCCCCCCCCUCGGUUUAAACCGCUGAUUGGUACAUUUUUUUUUGGUAAAAUAUUUUUGUGAUUUUACAUGUUUCUGAUUAGGAUCAUAAUUUCUUUAUGAUUUUUGGUUUCUAAUUAUUUCUAGUUAUUUUGUUGACGUAGUCCAGAACUCUAAUUUGUGUUGGCAACAUAAAUACUAAUGUUUACAUUUAUAAUUUACUGUUUUGAAAGCCAUUCAGAUAUUAAUUUCGUAAGUUAAUUCACUCUGAAACUGCAUGACAUCAAUAAACUAUACUGUACUGUAUGUAUAAAACCAAUACAAUUUUUGAGAUUUAGAUAAAUGUAUUUUUGUGUUAAAUUCUUUUAUGUGAA